rnacentral:rRNA from 1 species
GAUGAACGCUGGCGGCGUGCCUAAUACAUGCAAGUCGAGCGAACAGACGAGGAGCUUGCUCCUCUGACGUUAGCGGCGGACGGGUGAGUAACACGUGGAUAACCUACCUAUAAGACCGGGAUAACUUCGGGAAACCGGAGCUAAUACCGGAUAAUAUAUUGAACCGCAUGGUUCAAUAGUGAAAGACGGUUUUGCUGUCACUUAUAGAUGGAUCCGCGCCGCAUUAGCUAGUUGGUAAGGUAACGGCUUACCAAGGCAACGAUGCGUAGCCGACCUGAGAGGGUGAUCGGCCACACUGGAACUGAGACACGGUCCAGACUCCUACGGGAGGCAGCAGUAGGGAAUCUUCCGCAAUGGGCGAAAGCCUGACGGAGCAACGCCGCGUGAGUGAUGAAGCUCUUCGGAUCGUAAAACUCUGUUAUUAGGGAAGAACAAAUGUGUAAGUAACUAUGCACGUCUUGACGGUACCUAAUCAGAAAGCCACGGCUAACUACGUG